UACGUAGGUGGCAAGCGCUGUCCGGAGUUAUUGGGCGUAAAGCGCGCGCAGGCGGUGCGGUAAGUCUCUGGUGAAAGCGCUCGGCUUAACUGGGCGAGGGCCGGGGAGACUGCCACGCUGGAGGGGAGCAGAGGCGAGUGGAAUUCCGGGUGUAGUGGUGAAAUGCGUAGAGAUCCGGAGGAACACCAGUGGCGAAGGCGGCUCGCUGGGCUCUACCUGACGCUGAGGCGCGAAAGCGUGGGGAGCGAACCGG
rnacentral:rRNA from 1 species